rnacentral:rRNA from 1 species
CCUACGGGGGGCAGCAGUGAGGAAUAUUGGUCAAUGGCCGGAAGGCUGAACCAGCCAAGCCGCGUGAAGGACGAAGGUGCCAAGCAUUGUAAACUUCUUUUGUCAAGGGACAAAAUCAGGCUCGAGAGCCUGACCGAGGGUACUUGAAGAAAAAGCAUCGGCUAACUCCGUGCCAGCAGCCGCGGUAAUACGGAGGAUGCGAGCGUUAUCCGGAUUUACUGGGUGUAAAGGGAGCGUAGACGGCUAGUCAAGUCAGAAGUGAAAGCCCAGGGCUCAACCUUGGGACUGCUUUUGAAACUGAGUAGCUAGAGUGCAGGAGAGGUAAGCGGAAUUCCUAGUGUAGCGGUGAAAUGCGUAGAUAUUAGGAGGAACACCAGUGGCGAAGGCGGCUUACUGGACUGUAACUGACGUUGAGGCUCGAAAGCGUGGGGAGCAAACAGGAUUAGAUACCCUUGUAGUC